rnacentral:rRNA from 1 species
AACGAACGCUGGCGGCAGGCCUAACACAUGCAAGUCGAGCGAGACCUUCGGGUCUAGCGGCGGACGGGUGAGUAACGCGUGGGAACGUGCCCUUUUCUACGGAAUAGCCUCGGGAAACUGAGCGUAAUACCGUAUACGCCCUUUGGGGGAAAGAUUUAUCGGAGAAGGAUCGGCCCGCGUUGGAUUAGGUAGUUGGUGGGGUAAUGGCCUACCAAGCCUACGAUCCAUAGCUGGUUUGAGAGGAUGAUCAGCCACACUGGGACUGAGACACGGCCCAGACUCCUACGGGAGGCAGCAGUGGGGAAUCUUAGACAAUGGGGGCAACCCUGAUCUAGCCAUGCCGCGUGAGUGAUGAAGGCCUUAGGGUUGUAAAGCUCUUUCAGCUGGGAAGAUAAUGACGGGACCAGCAGAAGAAGCCCCGGCUAACUCCGU